CCUACGGGAGGCAGCAGUGAGGAAUAUUGGUCAAUGGACGAGAGUCUGAACCAGCCAAGUCGCGUGAGGGAUGACGGCCCUAUGGAUUGUAAACCUCUUUUGUCAGGGAGCAAAGUGCGCCACGUUUGCCUCUUUGCGAGUACCUUAAGAAAAAGCAUCGGCUAACUCCGUGCCAGCAGCCGCGGUAAUCCGGAGGAUGCGAGCGUUAUCCGGAUUUAUUGGGUUAAAGGGGUGCGCAGGCGGACUGUCAAGUCAGCGGUAAAAUUUCGGGGCUCAACCCAGUCGUGCCGUUGAAACUGGCGGUCUGGAGUGAGCGUGAAGUAGGCGGAAUGCGUGGUGUAGCGGUGAAAUGCAUAGAUAUCACGCAGAACUCCGAUUGCGAAGGCAGCAUACCGGAGCGCAACUGACGCUCAUGCACGAAAGCGUGGGUAUCGAACAGGAUUAGAUACCCCAGUAGUC
rnacentral:rRNA from 1 species